GGGUACACUAAGUGAAUUUUCAGAAACACAUGAGGAAAGCUCACAGGCACAACGAGGUUGAGAGCUCUCCACUUGCUCAGCUGGUGGCCUAGCAUCCAGAUCAGCUAAAGGAUGACAUUUUUGGAGUGCUACAUCUGCAGAUCACAUCCAACAUACAUAAUGCCAUUUGGCCACCAAGUGGUUGUGGAUUUUUUAUUUAUUAGGUGUGCAAUGGGAAUAAUGAAUCCUGUGGAGACAGCCAGCUCAGACUUCAUCCUGAAGGAAUCAUGCACCCAGACAUGUUUGGUUAGCCCUCAAAUUUGCAGACCUUGAACCACAGUACCUGCCCUGAUACGACAACGUGAGAUGGGAUGCUGGGGGAUGCUCUGGUCUCAGACAUUUGCAAGUGUCUGCUCUGAGCCUGAAAAGUGUCAGACCAAAACAGCCUCUCAAAGUUUCCCAGUGAAGGACUUCAAAUUACCAAUUUCUGCUUCUUUUUCAGCAAA